rnacentral:rRNA from 1 species
CCUACGGGCGGCUGCAGUGGGGAAUAUUGCACAAUGGGCGCAAGCCUGAUGCAGCCAGGCCGCGUGUGUGAAGAAGGCCUUCGGGUUGUAAAGCACUUUCAGCGGGGAGGAAGGCGUUAAGGUUAAUAACCUUGUCGAUUGACGUUACCCGCAGAAGAAGCACCGGCUAACUCCGUGCCAGCAGCCGCGGUAAUACGGAGGGUGCAAGCGUUAAUCGGAAUUACUGGGCGUAAAGCGCACGCAGGCGGUCUGUCAAGUCGGAUGUGAAAUCCCCGGGCUCAACCUGGGAACUGCAUUCGAAACUGGCAGGCUAGAGUCUUGUAGAGGGGGGUAGAAUUCCAGGUGUAGCGGUGAAAUGCGUAGAGAUCUGGAGGAAUACCGGUGGCGAAGGCGGCCCCCUGGACAAAGACUGACGCUCAGGUGCGAAAGCGUGGGGAGCAAACAGGAUUAGAUACCCGAGUAGUC